GCCGGGUGUGGUGGCGGGCGCCUGUAGUCCCAGCUACUCAGGAGGCUGAGGCAGGAGAAUGGCGUAAACCCGGGAGGCGGAGCUUGCAGUGAGCUGAGAUCUGGCCACUGCACUCCAGCCUGGGCGACAGAGAGAGACUCCGUUUCAAAAAAAAAAAAGAAACAGGAGUCUCGCUCUGUCACCCAGGCUGGAGUGCAGUGGCGCGAUCUCAGCUCACUGCAAGCUCCGCCUCCCGGGUUCACACCAUUCUGCCUCAG
rnacentral:SRP_RNA from 1 species